rnacentral:rRNA from 1 species
CCAAUAGCGUAUAUUAAAGUUGUUGCAGUUAAAAAGCUCGUAGUUGAAUUUCGAGAUCAGUACGCUGGUCGUGCCUUCGGUAUGCACUGGUGUCACUGGUUUCUCCCUUCUGAAGAACCGUCAUGUCAUUAAGUUGGUGUGGCGGGGAAUCAGGACUGUUACUUUGAAAAAAUUAGAGUGUUUAAAGCAGGCUCGCGCUUGAAUACAUUAGCAUGGAAUAAUGAAAUAGGACGUUUGACCCUAUUUUGUUGGUUUCUAGGAUCGACGUAAUGAUUAAUAGGGAUAGUUGGGGGCAUUAGUAUUCAAUUGUCAGAGGUGAAAUUCUUGGAUUUAUUGAAGACUAACUACUGCGAAAGCAUUUGCCAAGGAUGUUUUCAUUAAUCAAGAACGAAAGUUAGGGGAUCGAAGACGAUCAGAUACCGUCGUAGUCUUAACCAUAAACUAUGCCGACUAGGGAUCGGAUGAUGUUAAUUUUUUAAUGACUCAUUCGGCGCCUUACG